UACAGAGGUCUCAAGCGUUGUUCGGAUUCAUUGGGCGCAAAGGGUGUGUAGGUGGCGCCGUAAGUCGGGUGUGAAAUUUCGGAGCUUAACUCCGAAACUGCAUUCGAUACUGCGGUGCUUGAGGACUGGAGAGGAGACUGGAAUUCAUGGUGUAGCAGUGAAAUGCGUAGAGAUCAUGAGGAAGACCAGUGGCGAAGGCGGGUCUCUGGACAGUUCCUGACACUGAGACACGAAGGCCAGGGGAGCAAACGGG
rnacentral:rRNA from 1 species